rnacentral:misc_RNA from 1 species
UUGAAAUAAACCUGAUAAGUUGUUGCUGGUUCUCUAGGGAGCAAUGUGCACGCUUGUCACUUUUAUAUCUUCACCUGUGCACCUUUUGUAGACCUGAAUAUCUCUCUGAAUGCUUAUUUUAUAAGCACUUGGGAUUGAGAAUUGACUUGAUUGUCUCUUCUUGUAUUUUCAGGUCUAUGUUUCUUCAUAUACCCUAAUGUAUGUUUGUAGAAUGCAAUUAAUGGGCCUUUGUGCCUAUAAAACUUUUA